rnacentral:lncRNA from 1 species
GGGUGAAAUGGAGCCCCUGAACACGGCUGGGGAUGGCAAAGGUGGGUUCACCAUUUGCAGACUGCCCUGGGUGCAGAAUUGUUCCAGUAAGCAGAGGCAGAGCUAGCUGUGCACCUGCGGGGGCGGGGCAAGCAUCCCAGGAGGGCGGGGUGGCGAUAUCACACACACACCCAGGAUGACACCCAGGACAGACCGCACCCACCGCAGCCCCCUUCCUCCGCCAGUGGGAGUAGGGAUGUAGAACUCUGCCCCUACAAUGCAUCACUAUCUUUCCCCUCUUAUCACUGAAGCAAAUGUUUCUCUUCUCCUCCCACUUAAUUUGGAGAUUAUGGAACAUAGGGAACCACCUUUCUACCAAGUUACAUCACUUGCCCAUAUAGCUCAUGGGUUAGGGGGCCUGUUAGCCCUCCAGAUAUUGGAGGACUCUCAAUUCUCAUCAGCCCCAGCAAGCAUGGUGAAUGGUUGGGGCAGUAGGAGCUGUCGUCCAGCAUAAUCUGAAGGGCCACUAGUCCCUCCACCCCUGGUAUAGUCAGUGUCAACUCCAGCAUUUUUUAGGGUCCUCAGGGAAGACACUCUCCAAGCCCCACACCUCAGCUGGGAAUCCUGAUUGCAGCAGGGGGGAGCCUUUCUUGGGUGCAGACCCACCAGUGUACCUGAAGGAGCAUCUCCACCCCCAUCGUUCAGCCAAGACCCUGAGACCCAGCGCCAAGGGCCUUCUGGCGGUUCCCUCAUGGUGAGAAGUGAGGUUGCAGGGAACCAGGUAGAGGGCCUUCUCGGUAGUGGCGCCUGCCCUGUGGAACGCCCUCCCAUCAGAUGUCAAUUAAACAAACAACUAGCUGAAUUUUAGAAGACAUCUGAAGGCAGUCCUGUUUAGGGAUGUUUUUAAUGUUUGAUAUUAUUAUUAUUAUUAUUAUUAUUAUUAUUAUUAUUAUUAUUACUCUGCCCAUCAGGCUGGGUUUCCCUAGCCCCUGUGGGCAGCUUCCAACAAAGAUUAAAAAUACAUUAACACAUCAGUCAUUAAAAACUUCCCUAAAGAGGGCUGCCUUCAGAUGUCUUCUAAAUGUCAGGUAUUUGUUUAUCUCUUUUAUCGUGUUUUCAAUAUUCUGUUGGGAGCUGCCCAGAGUGGCAGGGGAAACCCAGCCAGAUGGGUGGGAUAUAAAUAAGUUGUUGUUGUUGUUGUUGUUGUUCCUGCCUUUCAUUCAGGUGACUUGAGAAAGUCAAGAAGAGGAAUCCUAAAUUAAUACUACCUCCUCGAAAUUCCCCAUUGUUUCCUUCUCCUUCCCUUUGCCUGACUAGGCUAUUCAAGCUUUCUGCGAAAAAGGUUGCAUCUUUGUUAACUUCCUUUAGCUGGCUAAACUGUUCCCUCUGCUGACAGAACCAAGGAACAACUGAUCAGCCAAUUGAAAUGGUGUUGACUACAGCUUAAGACUAAUUUGGGUGGGGGCAACAGCAGGUAUUUCAAAGUAAUCUGUCCCAUGACAAAAUGUUCUUUUAAAGAAUGGAGGAACAGAGAGCAAAUACAUCACAUUUGUAUUUAGUGCAAAACAACGGAGAUUUGACCUCUGAAAAGGAAAGUUUCUGUGUUUCAUUUCAUAUUCUGUUUUCUGAAUAUCUGAGGCCCCCUCUGCACCAUACAUUUACAACUGUAUCAUACCAAUGUAAACAGUCAAGCUUCCCCCAAAUAAUCUUGGGUGCCGACCUCGUUGGGAUUUGAACCCUGGUCUCCUGGGUUCUAGUUUGACACUCUAACCACUACACCACACUGACUCUCAAGUGUGCAUAGGAUUGCAGCCUGGCUCAGCAAACCUAUAGACCCCCCAGAGGGUAUUCCAGAGGCCAAUAGAACAUUUUCUCCUUAUCUCCUUGAGAAUUCCGACUUUAGAGAGGGAACUUCAAUGUUGGAUUCCCCUCCCACUAAGAAAUUCAGUUUGAUAGGCAUUUUCAGUAUACAGUAGUACCUCGGGUUAAGAACUUAAUUCAUUCUGGAGGUCAGUUCUUAACCUGAAACUGUUCUUAACCUGAGGUACCAUUUUAGCUAAUGGAGCCUCCCGCUGCUGCCACGCCACUGUCGCACGAUUUCUGUUCUCAUCCUGAAGCAAAGUUCUUAACCCGAGGUACUACUUCCAGGUUAGAGGAGUCUGUAACCUGAAGCAUCUGUAACCCGAGGUACCACUGUACAUUGCUUAGAAGUAGUAAUGCAAACCUAUCUAAUUUGCACAUCCUGUAAGAACAUGGAAGUCAAAAUAUAGCCACCCUUCAAAAUUCUCACUUCUCCUGAAUGUGUGCAGAAAAUGUAUAUAUUAGGGGAAAUUGCUUGUUAAAAUGUGUUUAUUAGGCAAAAAUUGCAUAGAAAAAUGUGUGUUGCUGGGAGAAACUGAUGGAUUUCUGUGAGGACUUGUUUAUUCCAAUGCAGACUGUUGUGGAAAGGAUGUGACAUUGAAAUUAAAAUGAGAAAGAUGAAAAACAGAAACAGAAACAGAUGGAUUCAUCCAUCCCUACACGCCUACUCCUGUUUCAACAGAAUCAUCAGUGGUCCUUCUCAAUGACAUCAGAGCUCCAAUUUCACCAGCAUCAAAAAGCACAUGUUCUGUGAGUGAAUUAGGGGUGUGCAAAGAAUGCAAAGGAUGCAACGCCUUCCCAGUAUCAUGACAAACCCUCAAACUGGAGAUUAAACCACAGUAGCCUUUGAAAUGGCACCCUUUAAUUCCAUCCCAUUGUUUCCAACGGGAGGGGAGAAGAAGCAGGAGAUGAAAAGGAAGAAGAGGAAGAAGGCCGAACCCAGGAAAAGAUGGAAGAGUGCAAGCCACAGUCAAUGAGAGUCCAAAAGGGCAUUGGAUGAGAUGGAAGAGCCAACUUUGGUUCCCACAUUCCUCAGUCCUGAAUCCUGAAAGAGCUCAGGGUCACUUGCCCCUUCCACCAAAAGCAAUGCUAGCCAAUAUUUCCAAAGCAUGUCCUUUAAUGUGCCCCAUAGUGUAGCUUCUGGUUGCUGCGAGGCUAUUAAAUGUUGGCAAUUGGAAAUGACAGCACACCAGAACCACCAAGUAUGGUCCCAAGUCCUAAAGUGGCCUGCUUCUUUAGUUUCCAGGUGUAGCUGCUAUACCAAUCUGAUUUCAGGGGACUGGAACUGAUAUCAUUGGUACAGUUAGGUCAUUUUAGAGCUGCAUUUUUGCGGGGUGGGGAGGGCUUUUUAGAAGGUAUUACUUCAACUCACAUCAAAACUUGAUAAGCCAGCCCUGCUGUGUUUUGGGAGACCUCUUGCUCACCCUGAGUGGGACCCUGGUAGGGAUGGGGGAGGAAUUCGAUUGAAUUUGGAUUUCAACCUGAGCCUACCUGGGUUGGACUUUCAAAAACAAUAUGCAAACUGAAACACAGCUGAGAGCCAGUGUGGUGUAGUGGUUAAGAGUGGUAGUCUUGUAAUCUGGGGAACCGGGUUCGCGUCUCUGCUCCUCCACAUGCAGCUGCUGGGUGACCUUGGGCUAGUCACACUUCUCUGAAGUCUCACAGCCCCACUCACCUCACAGAGUGUUUGUUGUAGGGAAGGAAGGGAAAGGAGAAUGUUAGCCGCUUAAAGGGAGUGAAAGGCAGGAUAUCAAAUCCAAACUCUUCUUCUUCUUCCUUUAAUAGCUCUGAGAUUUUGUGAAGCCAUCCUCCUGUCAAAUAAUGCAUGCAUGCAUUCAAAGGUGUUUAUUGGGGGAAAGUGUGCCAAAAAGAUUAUGCAAUAUCCAUUGUUGGAAAUGACAUACAUCGUGGUACAUGAAGUCAACUAUCCAUUGUCCUUGGAUAGAGACGGGGGCGAAAUAUAAUUCAGUUUGCAUUUAAAGGUGAACCUCCCUAAUUCACACUUUUCCAAACCAUUCACAAACAAAACCACAGCUACUCAUUGAAAUCUGCCCUUCUCUGAAUUUUGCAGAGCAGUUCUCCAGCCAAGUGAUGGAUACAACAAUGCAUGUGUUAGGGUAAAUUGUGCAUAUAAAUGCAUAUAUUUGUGAAAAUGGCAUGGAAAGAGGCUUUAUGUUAGGAGAAAUGGCUUGCCCAAAUGUGUACACAAGGCAAAAAUUGCAUACAAAAACGUGUAUAUUAGGAGAAAAUUGCACUAAAAUACCUACAAGCUUUGUUGAGGACUUUUUAUUUAAAUAGAAAUAAAAAUGGCAGAGCGGUGCAGAAAUGUGGAGAACUCAACUUAAGGGUGGGGAGGGAUGAGAAACCAUGAAAAAUAGACUGAUCUGUCCAUUCUUAGACAUGUGCCCUGAAAUCCCACCCUAAUGGCACCACUGCCCAGAAUAGCGG